rnacentral:lncRNA from 1 species
CUAGCUGGGAUUACAGGCACCAGCCACCACACCCAGAUUCCUGAUGACAACAAAUAUACACUGGAACCCCCAAGGGCUUUGCAGGUUCACUGAUUUCCAGAUAUUUCUCUUGGGAUUCUGCUAUAGGACCUGAAGUUAUCUGCUUGCUGAGGCAUGAAGAAAUAAAUAAAAUAAUAGGAAAAUAUGAAAAAGUAAAAUAAGCGUUUAUAGAAGUGAUGUGUUUCAUUGAAGAAAUCCAGGUACAGCCACUGGCAUAGUCUCUGACAUCUUCAUCAGUACAAGAUAAGAUUACUUGACUUGGCUCGAGUUGAAAAUCAUGAGUAAGUGAUCUUAAUUCUAAUUCAAAAAUAGAAAACCAUUCUGCUGGAUAUCUGUUAGACUAUGCCUAGCAGGCAUUUUUUUGAAAAUCUGAACCCAACUUCUGUUCAUGAAACAGUAGAUUGCUUAUUCCAAAGAAGAAUGCUUCAUUCAUUACUUUCUAUUUAAAACAUCUUAUUGUACUCCCUGAGACUGCGUUCACAAGAUCAUGCCUAUUAGAAUCCUCUUGUUCUAUUUAUCAGAGGAUUCCAUCUUACACAUGCAUAAUGACGUCUGUUUUACAUGAAUACUAGGUUUUCUUGGUAGCUUGAGAACUGACGCUGCAGCAGCUCUUCCUGUAGCAGGCACAAAGCCUGGCUCUAUCCACCUCAUCAUGUUACUGGGCUGAGUUACAUACUAACAGCAGCUCAAUUUUUCUCCCUAAGAAAAAUACUUUUCCCCAAGUAUUUUGUUUCUAUCACUGCUGUAAAAUUAAAACAUAACUCUUAUUUCUUCAUGUCUACAUUAUAUCUAAAUUCAUGUAUUGUCAUGUUUCUUCUUGAUAAUAUAUAUAAGGCUAUCUAAUCUACAUUUUAAAACUUGCCUUUUAUAAACGUGGUCUUAGUUGUCAGGUCCAUUUAUGUCAUCACUAUUAAUGAGUAUUUCUUUGAAAACACCCACACCCAUAUGCAUGUCUAUUAAUCACUUCAUCAAGGACCAGUCACCUUUAAUGUCAACCAUGAUAGCAUAAUUUCUUAAUUUCAGUAAUUUGGUUUGUGAUUUUUCAUCACAUAUUAUGUUCCAGUCUCCUUUAAUUAAAAAAAAUCUUCAUAUCCCCUUAAGAUUCAU